rnacentral:rRNA from 1 species
AGAGUUUGAUCAUGGCUCAGGAUGAACGCUAGCUACAGGCUUAACACAUGCAAGUCGAGGGGCAGCAUGGUCUUAGCUUGCUAAGGCCGAUGGCGACCGGCGCACGGGUGAGUAACACGUAUCCAACCUGCCGUCUACUCUUGGACAGCCUUCUGAAAGGAAGAUUAAUACAAGAUGGCAUCAUGAGUCCGCAUGUUCACAUGAUUAAAGGUAUUCCGGUAGACGAUGGGGAUGCGUUCCAUUAGAUAGUAGGCGGGGUAACGGCCCACCUAGUCUUCGAUGGAUAGGGGUUCUGAGAGGAAGGUCCCCCANAUUGGAACUGAGACACGGUCCAAACUCCUACGGGUGGCA